GGGGGUGUGGCUCAGCAGUACAGCGCCUGCCUAGCAUAUAUGAGGUCCUGGGUUCAAGCCCCAGCGCCACUA
rnacentral:tRNA from 2 species